UCAAAUCCACGUUUGCUAUAGUCCUAAGAAAUUCAGUGACAGUAUUCAAAGCUAUAUAAUAAAGAAGGUAUAAAAAAAAAAGAAGGAAGGUGAAAUAUAAUGUCCUCUUCCUUCUUUCAGGUUAUUUUCAUCUUCUUUCUAAUUAGCCAAUCUUCUUUCUUAAGCUGCAAACAUCCUCACUUUUAUUCAAAUAUAAGAGAAACCGCCAUACAGGAAAGACCAUAGGUCAAUUCAAAGUUAAUGUUGACAAGGUGAAAGCUUAUACAUUGGCUAAUCAUUCAGGUCAUACCCCAAGACACCACUCUACACUUCUACAGUGAGUCACAUUGAAUAAAAAUCAAUGGAUGCUUGCAUACAUGGGUUUGGAACCUCUGAACUCUCUACAUGUUCCUAAUUCAAGAUGUUAUGAACCUGCACCUCCAACCAAUUAUGAGUUACCAUGGAAGCAAAACCUUAUUAUUGGAUGGACUAUUGAUUCAACUAUGCAUCAACUAAAAACCAACUCAGAUUUACAAAAUUUGGAGAGUUUCUUUUGGACUUAGAUUUGAAAUACAUGAAAUAAUAGGAUUUUACAAAGACAGAAUCUGUGUCAAACUUUCAGACACGACUUGAAAAUAAAAGUACCAAACAUUGUAGUAGUACUAGAAUAGAUUCCAAAAUCCAUUAGUAGAAUAGCAUCUCUCUCUCUCAUUUCAAGUAAUUCAAAUACACAUCAUGCGUUCUUUACUGAUAACCAUGUGCUAUCAAACUACUUAGAUUUCUAUUCAUCCAGUUAUAAGCACAGAUAGAGUACACAAUUCACCUUCAUUGUCUCGUUCGAGGUCUAAUUGACUAGAUACGGGACACAAACACCUUUUUGAAAGGAUUAAGGAUGGAUAUUUGCAGUAAUACACGAAACAAAGGAUAAAGGAACAAACACAUUCAUAAAAGCUAGAAAUUGCACAGAUUAAGGAAAACUUGCUAUAGAUGGUGUUGCCAUGUGCAGCAUAGAUGGUUGAAUUCAUUCAAGUUGAAGGGGUCAAAAAGGUAAAAGCCAAACCAAAAAAUAACAUAGUUUGAAAUCUAACAGGAUAUUUUUAUUACUGAGAAUAUUCAAUACAGUAUUAAAACAAGACAAAAUAGAAGAGGAAAAAAACAUAACAGUUGACCACAACUAUACUGGAUUAAGAUUUAGUUUAGUUAAGCUGUUUCUAUUUCUACCAAACUCAAGUUUUCCUCUUAUGGAACGCAAGAUACUUGCAUGUAAGUUACAUUAAAAGGAUUCAUAUGAUACAGCCAAUAAUUACAACUCACCGAAAGUAGCUUCUUUCUGAGGU
rnacentral:misc_RNA from 1 species